rnacentral:rRNA from 1 species
GAUGAACGCUGGCGGCGUGCCUAAUACAUGCAAGUCGAGCGAACAGAUGAGGAGCUUGCUCCUCUGACGUUAGCGGCGGACGGGUGAGUAACACGUGGAUAACCUACCUCUAAGACUGGGAUAACUUCGGGAAACCAGAGCUAAUACCGGAUACUAUAUUGAACCGCAUGGUUCCCUCGUGAAAGACGGUUUUGCUGGCAAUUAUCGAUGGACCCGCGCCGCAUUAGCUGGUUGGUAAGGUCACGACGUAUCCAGGCAACGAUACGUAGCCGACCUGAGAGGGUGAGCAGCCACACUGAGAGGGUGACACGGUCCACAGGCCUAGGGGAGCGAGCAGUAGGGAAACGUGCGCAAGGAGUGGAAGCCUGACGAAGCAGCGCCGCGGCAUGAAGGAGGAUCUCCGGGUCGGAGAACUCGGUUAUUAGGUAGGAAAAAUUUUGUAGGUAACUAGACGCGUAUGUGCGGUACCUAGUAGGAAAGGCACGGCUAACUACGGU